GACGAACGCUGGCGGCGUGCUUAACACAUGCAAGUCGAACGGAAAGGCCCCUUUGGGGGUACUCGAGUGGCGCACGGGUGCGUAACACGUGCGUAACCUGCCCUUGACUUCGGGAUAACUUCAGGAAACUGGGGCUAAUACCGGAUAGGAAUCCUUGCUGCAUGGUGGGGGUUGGAAAGCUUCGGCGGUUUUGGAUGGACUCGCGGCUUAUCAGCUUGUUGGUGGGGUAGUGGCUUACCAAGGCUUUGACGGGUAGCCGGCCUGAGAGGGCGACCGGCCACAUUGGGACUGAGAUACGGCCCAGACUCCUACGGGAGGCAGCAGUGGGGAAUAUUGCACAAUGGGCGGAAGCCUGAUGCAGCAACGCCGCGUGCGGGAUGACGGCCUUCGGGUUGUAAACCGCUUUCAGCAGGGGCGAAGCUUGUGGUGACGGUACCUGCAGAAGAAGCACCGGCUAACUACGUG
rnacentral:rRNA from 1 species